UGUCAAUCUUUUCAGACAUGCU
rnacentral:piRNA from 1 species